rnacentral:lncRNA from 1 species
GCACUUGAGAAUUCUUAGCCAUAAAGCUGAUGACUAACACAGGAAUGGUUGGAAAGAAAAAUCUUUUUAAUCUGGGAAGGAGAGGGAAGGACGAAGGCAAGAAGGAAAAGAUCCAUAGAGCUCAUGAGUGUGGUUAUCAGCCCAAAUCAGAGCUUUUCGAGAAUCGGAAUUAGAACUUGGAUGUGUAUAGUCCCACUAAUGAACCAGGGCUCGUUCUGGGAAGUUCUGGAGGAAAUAAGCCCUAGGCCUGCGGCCCAACCUGGCCUUUGGGGCCCCAGGGGAAGGCUGCCGUAUUAAGGGGGCCCAUGCCCUCAUCGCUGCAGGAGACAAGGGAGCGAGCACUUGGCUGCGCCACAGAAAUUACUGCUGUACCUCGAAUGCCCGCUUCAUUUAUCAAUUUCAUAGCAGAAAAACCCAUAUGACUGCCUUGUUCACUCGCACGCUAAAUCUAGUCACAGAAAGCUCCUCACCGCCAGUCAAGUGUGUUAUGCGCGGGCUUAGAGAAAGUAACUUGAAAUACCACUAAUGAUUUAUACUUAAUUGAACCUCUAAGUGAUUAAAGUGGCAGUAAUGAAUGAAUAACACCCUCCUCGUUCCCUCACCCACUCGGCCCAGCGACUCCGGGCAGAGCGGGCCUCGCCUUGGGAAGUCAGCUACAAAGGCCGGCGUGAACCAUUCUCUCAGCUUCCCCCAAGCCGCUCAUCUGGGUCCUGGCUAAAUUGCUCUCGCUUGCAGCAAAUGACUCCAUAAGCACCAUAUCAGACCAUUGAUCCUUUUUAUUAGAUUACCCAAUUGUAAGGUUAAUGCAUUUGCAUUUGCCAAACGGAGUGGGUCAGCCUGAAUCCCACACGGGGAUCCACGUUUAAACGGACACACAGCCGAGGAGAGUGGCUCUGUCAACGUAUUGAUUUGUUGGAACAGGAACCAGCUGGAUGCUGAUACCCUUGCCUCAGCCCACCCCCUACCUCCAAAAGAAAGUGCAGGAGAACACACUUCCCGGGCUGUGUCUUCCUUAGCACAAACCCCCUUGACAGCCAGGAGGCCAACGCCAGCGGCCACCCACAAUACUUCUGUUUCUGGAAGAAAGAAGGGCCCUGCAAAGGUUUCGGUCACCUCAGACACAGACAAAGGUGGGCCAUUCACCUUGGACCAGGAACCUGGCUGCUUUCUCUAAAUGAGGGAGAGCCAGGACUUGUGACAAGGACACAAGCUUCAGAAGCCAAAAAUUCUUCUUUUCUGAACAUCAUAGAGUCAGACUGGGGCAGCCAUUUCUCCCUAGGUUUCUACACCUGACGUGAACUUAUUCUUGGAUUUUUGAAAUGCAUUAACCAAAUGCCAUUUAAGUGAUCCACCUUCAUAAGAAUUUUCUAAUGGGGAAACUGAGGCCCAGAGAGAAAAUGAAACUUACCUGAUGGCCCCUGAAGCAGAAACUGGGACUUGCAGAGGCCAAGUAACUGUCCAAUGUGACGCAGCUGGAAAGGGGAGAGCUGGAGCUCAAGCCCAAGCCGGUCAGACUCCAGGACCUGCGUUCUGUCACUCUGCCCCACUCCCAGGACUUGAAGUAUCUUUGGGCGGGGAACAAACCAGAGUUCUGCAGAGACUCUGGCUUCUCCUUCCCUUCCUCGUCUUCUAUUCCAUUAAGCCAACAGCCUCAGGAGCAGGCAAGGGAUAGGAAGGCGUUGGUCCAGAGCGAAAAGAGAGCUUCAGAUGCGAAGGGGAAAGAAAAUCACUGAGUGAGCAACAGUUGACCUUGAUUCCAGAUUAAUGGAGUAUAAAUUAACAACAAACGUGUGCAAUGUCCUGGAAGUCAGAUGCUUCUCCACACUCCCUCACUGUCCUCCGGCAAAAUGCUUCCUGUCCCUGAGCUGCUUUUCUACAAAUGUGAUGUGGGGGAACGGGGACUGCUGUCUGCAAGUCACCCUUGCCGUGGUGGGAACCCAUUCGGCCUGGCCUUUAUGCAAUGAAGGGCCUCCAGUUGAAGAUACAGACAGUGUCUCUGUUAAUAACACCAUUUUAUGGAAUUAAAUUUGGCGUCUGUUAAAAGUAUUCAUUAGUUGAAUGUAACAUUUACUGCCCCACAAUUUUGGUAAUACCAUUUUGGUCUUUUUUCCCCAAAUAUUUUAAUACACCUGCAGCCUCAAUAAAUAGAAGGAUCGGGACCUCCGUCGCCUUCUGAUCCCUCAGCCCCAUUCCUAGUGCCUAUAUUGUAGAUUUCCUUUGCUCUCCAGUUUCUAUAAAUUAAGUUCCCUUCUACCAAUUCAGGUAAAUUAAGAUCCCAUAGUUCGGAGGAAGCAUAGAGGGAGAAGAGGGUGUGUUUCCCUGGAGCAUUGCUGAUUGUCCAAACCUCUCUGUGAAAAGCUCUAAAUUACACUUACUGACGGGGAGCCCGGCAGACGUUUCCAAGACCCACCGCAAGCUCUCUGCCAUACUGUCUCCCAUCAGAGCUGCACUGCCUCGGGGUCAGUAACUAAGCAAGUGCUCUCCUGCUUUCGUACUCCUCUCUGGGGGUCCAGGUCAAUGCAGGAAUCAUUUGAACCUCUCCCCUUCCCAGGCCACUCUCUAUGGCUCACCUAUGUGAACAUCAAACCCAAAGGACAGCCCUCCAAAUUUAAUUUAUUUCUCCCUAAACAAGUCCUUUUAUCAUAAAGCAAUAAAUUUGUCUUAGUGCUAGCAAUUUGUUGCGGGUGACAUAACAUUGCAAAUUGAUUAAUCGCUACUGUAUGCGGCAAAAUGAGAAAAGCAAGGAAUUAUUAUGAAUAGCGUCCGUCUUUUACGGGAGCGAUUCAUUAUUCAAAAGUGCUCGCCGGUGCUUACAUGUGCCCUCGGCACAGAUUACAUCCAUUUGCAGACUUCCCACAUCAUGCUUACACAAAUCAACAAACGUGCAUUUAUUAAGACAUAGAAUGAAAGCUAUUUAAAAGUGAAAAAUGGCCUUUUGCAUUACUUUUCUUCAAGGAAGGCAAAUCUGGGUGGGAUGUUCCUAGGCAGCAGCCCCACGGUUGUCAUGUGAGCGUCUCCAGGUUCUGUGCACACUGGCUCAUGCAGGCACUACCAAAUCUGCCUGCUCUGCUGUCGGCAGCCCCAGGAUCAGAAACACUCCCCCAGGGGUUCUGGAAGCCUGGCUCUGGCUUAGAAGACGAGCAAUCGGCCGUCACUGCCUGCUGGGCAAGCAUAGCAGACGGGAGUGCUCUGUUCUCUGAAAACGAGCCUCCUUACCAUCCCCUGGGAAGCAGAAGGAAACAAAUAUUAAUUGACACCUACUCUGUACCAGACACUAUCCUGAAUGCUUUAUUUGCAUUUAAUAAGACAAGUCCGUCUAUUUCCCUGAACUUCAGAGGGUUGUUGUAAAGACCAGCUGGAAUAAUGCAUGCAUGCAAAGCGCGUAGUGAGUGCUCCAUACAUGUUAACUGUUACUGCUAUUAUUAUGUCAUUAAAUCAUUUUCAAUGUCAGCAUUAUUAUCGCCAUUUUACAGAGGGAGAAGUUGAGGCUUCGAAAGGUUGCAAGAUUUACCAAAUCACACAGUGAGUGAGCGAGCAGCACUGAACUUCAAUUUAGGAUCUGGCUCCAAAAAUUCAUGCUGUUUUUCACUAAACCACCCCCACAGCUCUCUCUCCUCGACAGUCAAUAUAGG